GUGCCCUUCCGAGGUUCAUGCUGUGCUUUAAGAGGUUAACACAGAAGGUAAAGUAAGUCUCUGUGAAUUCCACAGAAGAGAUAGUAAAACUGCUCUUGGGAUCCUGUCUGGAGUCAGAGCU
ensembl:snoRNA